ACAACAUUCGGACCGUUGAUCUACCUAGCAAAUUUAACCCGCUCGGUGGAAGAUCUUCCCUUUGUCGU
rnacentral:pre_miRNA from 1 species